GGGUGUAGCUCAGGGGUAGAGUGCCUGCCUAGCAUGCAUGAGGUCUUGGGUUCAAUCCCCAGUACCUCCA
rnacentral:tRNA from 1 species